rnacentral:rRNA from 2 species
UACGGAGGGUGCGAGCGUUAAUCGGAAUUACUGGGCGUAAAGCGCGCGUAGGCGGUUUGUUAAGUCAGCUGUGAAAGCCCCGGGCUCAACCUGGGAACUGCAGUUGAUACUGGCCGACUGGAGUGCGAGAGAGGGAGGUAGAAUUCCAUGUGUAGCGGUGAAAUGCGUAGAUAUAUGGAGGAAUACCGGUGGCGAAGGCGGCCUCCUGGCUCGACACUGACGCUGAGGUGCGAAAGCGUGGGGAUCAAACAGG